UGAUUUUUGUUAUUUAUAAAAAAAAUCUUUAUAAUUUUAAACGUUAACAUCGACAAAUAUUUAAAUAUUUAAGAUAUGGAGGUAUAGUAUUACAACAUUAAACUAUAUCUAUUUAAUUUAUACUAUCUAUAAAUCUAAUGGAUCAUCUAUUGCUUAAAUUCAAUUAUUAAUAAUCCAAUAAAAAUUUCUGGUAGACCUAAAAUUUAAAUGAUAAGAUUAGAGACUAAAUAUAACAUGACUUUAUAAGAAUAUAUCUAUUAGGUCUUUGGUUCGCAUAGUCUAUAUGAGCCUAUUUGUUGAUGACAAAAAAAAGUCCAUUAGGUCUAUUUUAAAAAAUAUCACACAUGAAUCGAAGUUGUGACUUCUGUUUUAAUAUACAAGAUAUUGGAAAUGAUUUAGCGUUAAAAAAACAAAACCCAUCAUAGUAUAUUUUAUAGAUAAUCUAUCUACUAUUAUUUGAGAAGUGAAUUUCCUGAUUUGUCAUCUACUCCAUAAUUUUAGGUUUAUUCAAUAGUUUUUCUAUAUUUUAUAGUUAAAAAUUAAGAUAAUCUUUUUAUAAUUAAAUAUUAAUUAAACAAAAAUAUUUGUAUAAAGCUAUUUUCUGAAAUAGUUUUAAUAUGUGAGUUAAAAUUUUCGACUCAAUAAUAAGCAUAUAUAUUUUGAUGAAGAUUUUUGUCAUAUAUAAAUAAUUUGAUGUUUGAUUAAACUUUUCAAGACAUAUGAAUUAAUAAAAUAUAACUAAUAAAUAUUUAUAAGAUGUUUAUGGCCGUAUGUGUAUAUUUAGCGUUAAAGAAAAAAAAAUCAUGAGAGUAUAUCUAUCUAUCUAUCUAUUACAAUAAGCGAGACUCUUUUUUUUGAUCAAACAAUAAAAGAGAUUUGUCUCUCUCCACAGCCCUCCAAAUCAUCAUCUUAGCAUGGGGCAAAACUGGACACGUGACGGGUGAAUGAUUUUUUAGUUUAAGCUUUUUUUUUCUUUUUUUCUUUUUUUUACUUUUGGAGUGUUUGGCCUCUUAUUUUUUCUUUUGUUAUUAUAGUUUGCUGGAGUUUGGGAUUUUACAUGACAUUUUUGUUCAGGCCAAUCACGUGUAGGGAAUCCGUCGUAGUGAAUCCGUCGAUCAACUCACUGUAAUGUAUCUCAUUUGCGUUAAAACAUACUCUAAUCUGAGUUUUAACGUGAUUACCCCCACCUCCCACUCUCAAACAUUCAAUCGGACUCAUCGUCUCCAAAUUAAACCGACAGAAGCUCCGACUAUAAAUCUCCUAGCGAUAACAGCACAACUUCACCAAAUCGAGAAGACAAUUCUCUGCUAAUUACCCACUCCGAGAAUGGCUAAUUCCUUCAACAUUCUUGCGGAUUUGAAAACGGGGACCAGUCUCCAACAUCUUCUGAUCCGCGUUCACCCUCUCGAUCACUCCCUAACUUUCGUUAUCAUCUCCUUGCUACUUUCGAUUUCAAAAUGUUAGUGUUUUUUCUUUGUUUUUUAUGUGGGAUAGCGUUGGAGAUCAAAUGAUUGAUCUUUUGAUUUUAACACGUUUGAUUAUAAUUUUAUGUGCAUGAAGAUGACAGGCUUAGAGUAUAUGAUCAGUGAUCCUACUGCCAUUGUCCCGACAAGUUUAUAUCGAUGCUAACGUAUAAUAUCUUGGACGGUACUACUCCCUCUGUUUCCGAAAGAAAAACUUUCUAGAGUAUUCACACAUAUUAAAGAAACAAUUAAUUUUGUACAAUUGAAUUUAUUAUUUAUUUUACUAUACAUUUUCCAAUAAAUAUCAACCAAUAGUAUUCAACCAAUUCAAAUAUUUUCAAUUAAUGUUUCUUAAAAGUACAAUAACUACUAAAAAUACCUUAAAAUUUUUAGAAAAUUUAUCAUUUUGGAAAAAAAAAAAUCUAGAAAAUCCUACUUUCAGGAACAGAGAGAGUAAUACCAGGCUCCAAAGGUUUUUUUUUAUUAUUAUUUUUAGUUGCUGCUAAAGUGUUUUUUUUUCUUCUCUUUCUCCUUUAAGGUCGGGCUGUUUAUAAUAUUUAGAAAGUUUUCUAUCCAGCUGCGUUGAAGUUGGAGACCGUUAGGCAGGGUAAGAUUUUGUUUUCUUCAAUAAGUUGGUUCUGUCUCAGUUUCAUGUGAUGUAAAUCUUUUUGCUACUAAGAGUUAGUUUCAAAAUUUGAUGCGAGCUUGACUAGCUAUGUCCAUAAGAAUGGACUGAGAAGUAUAUGUUUUUUAUGAACUGCAUGUAGAUGCAAAUGUACAAAUACUUUUCAAUUAAUUUAGGAAGCUCAUAGCUGAAUAGAUUUAAUUUAUCAAGUACUUUAGUAUAUGUUGUUCUUUGUUGUGAUUAACUUCAUCGAUCUUAUGAUAUGAUCUAUGGUUUUAAGUUGAUGCUAAAAACCAGAACGACCUUCUGAGACAAAGCCCCCAAUAGUACACAAUCUUUCACACCACUUCUCUUUCGGUAAGUAUCUCCAAUAAAAAUUAAUUUUUUUCCUCAAUUGGGUUUUGUGGGAUUUCUCUGUGACAAAGCAAUUGAAUUUGAUGUUCUUAGAUUCAUCAAAAGAUGUCUUCGUAGAAAACAGGAAGCAACACACCUUAUAUAAGAAAAAAGGGAAUUGAACAGUAUCUAUGUCGAAGAAGUCAAGAGUUCUUUGAGCAAUGCGUUUCUUCAGGCCAAUCUUGCUUUAGCAAAGGACACAACAAUUUUCUCAGAUUUUUCUUCUGGUACCUCGGCUCUUGCUGCCCUUAUUUUUGGAAGACACUUAAUGGUUGCAAAUGCAGGAGAUGGCAAAGCUGUUCUCUGUAGGAAUGGUGAAGCCAUAGACAUGUCUCAAGACCACACACCAAUUUACUUACCGUAAAGAAGAAAGUCGAAGGAAGUGGCGGCUUUGACGAUGCCAAUUACUUAAAUGGCAUAGCGAUUAGGACAUGAAAUUACCACGAGGGUCACGAUCUCCACUCAUAGCAGAGUCAGGAGAUCAAAAAGAUACAUUUAACAGAGGAAGACAAGUUUAUGAUACUGGGAUGCGACGAGAUUUGGGACGUUUGACAAUUCAAAAGGUUUUUGUAUCGUUAGGUGUGAAUUACGUCAUCACCAUGACCCGAUAAAGCUUGCUUUGAGGUCUUUAUGGCUAGAUAAGUUUGCUAACCUAACAUUGGCUGUUUAAUUCUUGUCAGCUGAUGACAUGGCGAUGGUCGCUCCUCCGGUGGAGGAUCAAGUUUGACGGCAUAAGCUUCUCAGAGAUUGAGGGCCUUAUUUGACGGUUGAAUGACAAGAUAGUGACACUCCCUUUUGUGUUCUUGGCUGAGCUUUUUCUUUUUGUUGUAUAUUUGGUGUCUGUAUGUAACUUCGAGUGUCUACGUGCCCCAGUUUUGUGUAAGCGGUUAUGUGUUUGUGCAUGGAUUGUAAGUUUUUUAUAUGUACGUGCUUCAUUUAGCUUAUAUAACUGCAUGGAUUCCAGUUUAUGAAAACAAACUAGAUUUGUAUGUUUGGUCGCUAACUACAUACAUAUCCAAUUUGUAUGCUUGGUCGGUCGCUAUUUUGUCCACUUUCUUAAGCAAGCAAAUAGUUUUGUAAUAUGAACAUUAACAAUAUACAUUAUUAAACAUUUAAUGUUAAUUAGAAACCAACACUUGUCCAACAUGAAAAUAGUUUUACAUAUUUGUUCACUUUUUAGAAUAUUAUAACUACACUAGAAAUUCUAAAUAUUCGAUAAAUUAAUAAACAUUAUAAAUUAAUAAAUUUUAUCAAUUUCAAGUUGGGUCAUUCAAAAUAUGAAACAAAUCGAUAAUAAUAAAAUAAUAUAUUGUUGAAGAUCCCAUGUAAAUACAUAGUCUCGCUAUAAUCAUAAUUUAAUAAUUUCUAUAUAUAAAGUUCCUAUAAGUAUAAAUAAUAUAUUAUAUUGUUUGUUUUCGAUUUAUAAUGGAUUUUAUUUUUUACUAUUAUUUUAUAAUAUCAAAAAUUUGUCUCUAAAAUACAUUUAAAUUAUAUGAUACAUAUCUCGUAUACAUUAAAUAAUAUAAUAAAAAGGAUAUGCAGGUCGAAUGUAUAAAAUUUAAUGAAUAUAUAAACAGUGAAAUCAAGUAUUUUUUUCUUAUUAUACGUAAAUAUUUUCAAAAUAUAUAUUUUAAAAUGAUUUUUUAUGAAUUAAUAAUUCUGUAAAUUAAUUAAUUUAUAUAGUGCCAACAUUAUUAAUAGAGGUUGACCGUAUUUUUAUUUGUCCAUUUUCUCAAACAAAUAGUUUAGUAGUAUGCACAUUAAUUAACACUACAUUAUUAAAACUAAAAAUGAACUAUAAGUUUCUGUCUAACAUGAAAAGUUUCUAUAACUUCCAUAAAGCAAUACUUUUACACUUUAAAAAAGUAGAGGCAUCCACAUAAAUUGAUACAUCAGUUGAUGUCAAAUUAAUCAACAAUACCCUCAAAAGAUGUUCAUAUUUAAACAACAUCGAAAAGUUUAAAGCAAAAAGGAAAACAACUACAACUAUUAAUAUAGCAGUAACCUGCCAUCUAACAAAAGUUCUAUAUUAGAUCUUCAACAAAGAGAAAGAUUCACAAAAAUACAUAUUUCUCCACUAUAUUCAAAGAAAAAAAAAGAAAAAACAAAUAAAAUG